AUUGAACGCUGGCGGCAGGCCUAACACAUGCAAGUCGAGCGGAUGAGGGGAGCUUGCUCCCUGAUUUAGCGGCGGACGGGUGAGUAAUGCCUAGGAAUCUGCCUGGUAGUGGGGGAUAACGUUCCGAAAGGAACGCUAAUACCGCAUACGUCCUACGGGAGAAGGCAGGGGACCUUCGGGCCUUGCGCUAUCAGAUGAGCCUAGGUCGGAUUAGCUAGUUGGUGAGGUAAUGGCUCACCAAGGCGACGAUCCGUAACUGGUCUGAGAGGAUGAUCAGUCACACUGGAACUGAGACACGGUCCAGACUCCUACGGGAGGCAGCAGUGGGGAAUAUUGGACAAUGGGCGAAAGCCUGAUCCAGCCAUGCCGCGUGUGUGAAGAAGGUCUUCGGAUUGUAAAGCACUUUAAGUUGGGAGGAAGGGCUGCUGGUUAAUACCCUGCAGUUUUGACGUUACCAACAGAAUAAGCACCGGCUAACUUCGUG
rnacentral:rRNA from 1 species